ACUGAUAAACCAGCGGGUGCGAU
rnacentral:siRNA from 1 species